rnacentral:tRNA from 1 species
GACUCAGUGGUUCAGUGGUAAAGCGCUCGUCGCUAAACUAGAGGGUCCUGGCUUCGAUCCCUGAUGGGGUUG